AUGGCCUUCUUCUUCUUCCAGUUCCUCCUGCUCCUGCUUCUAGCCGCCGCCCAUGGCGCGGCCCCUGUUCUUGGCUUCACGAGGAGCGACUUCCCGCCGGAAUUCGUCUUCGGGGCCGCCACCUCGGCAUACCAGUAUGAGGGUGCCGUGGCUGAGGAUGGCAGGAGCCCAAGCGUCUGGGACACCUUCACACAAGCAGGGAAAAUGUCGGAUAAAAGCACAGGCGAUGUCGCUGCUGAUGGGUACCACAAGUACAAGGAUGAUAUCAAGCUCAUGGUUGACACUAACCUAGAGGCUUACAGAUUCUCUAUCUCCUGGUCAAGGCUUAUACCAAAUGGGAGGGGGACUGUCAACCCAAAAGGUUUGGAGUACUACAACAACCUUAUAAAUGAGCUAGUGCAACAUGGGAUUCAAGUCCAUGUUAUGCUUUCCCAUCUCGAUUUCCCGCAAGUUUUGGACGAUGAGUAUGGCGGAUGGUUAAGCCCUAAAAUUGUGGAGGAUUUCACAGCAUUUGCGGAAGUGUGCUUUAGGGAGUUUGGAGACAGGGUUUCAUACUGGACAACGAUAGAUGAACCUAAUGUCAGCGCACUAGGAUCUUACGACAAUGCACUAUUUGCCCCGGGACGUUGCUCCAACCCAUUUGGAAUAACAAAUUGUACAGUGGGAAACUCAACUGUGGAACCAUACAUAGCAGCUCAUAACAUGAUACUGGCUCAUGCAUCAACUACCAGACUUUACGGAGAAAAAUAUCGAGCUGCCCAAAAGGGAGGUGUUGGCAUAAAUGUUUACUCUUCUUGGAGUUAUCCUAUGACGAACUCUGAUGUGGAUGUGGAAGCAGCUAAAAGAUACUUAGACUUCGUGUUCGGAUGGAUACUAGAGCCCUUGGUGUCUGGAGAUUACCCAGAUGUGAUGAGGAAAAAUGUUGGGUCUCGACUUCCAUCGUUCACAAAGUCCCAGUCUCAAGUUGUCAAGGGAGCUGUUGAUUUCAUAGGAAUAAACCACUACUAUUCCAUGUAUGUUAAUGACCGUCCUUUAGACAAAGGCACUCGUGACUAUUCAGCAGACAUGUCUCUUUACCAAAGAGCUUCUAAAACAAUCCCAGGAAGUAGCAAGAAUGUCCCAGCAUCUUCUCAAAGUGACCCGGAAGGAUUGCAAUAUGUGCUGCAGUACCUUACGAAAGCCUAUGGGAACCUUCCUAUCUAUGUGCAAGAGAAUGGUGUUGCAUCUAAUGACACUCUCGAUGACACCGAAAGGAUCGAAUACUUGAAGAGCUACAUGGGUAGCACACUGAAGGCAGUAAGGAAUGGAGCAAACGUAAAAGGCUACUUUGUCUGGUCCUUCCUAGACGUCUUCGAGUUCUUUGCAGGGGCCAAGUCACGGUACGGCCUGUACCGUGUCGAUUUUAACGAUGAGGCGCUGCCACGACAAGCGAAGCUCUCUGCUCGAUGGUACUCUGGCUUCCUGAAGAACAAUGACACCUAUGUUCGGAACGAGCUCGAAAGUACAGGAUCGCAUGCUCUGCAAUGA
rnacentral:rRNA from 1 species